rnacentral:rRNA from 1 species
GACGAACGCUGGCGGCGUGCUUAACACAUGCAAGUCGAACGGUAAGGCCCUUCGGGGUACACGAGUGGCGAACGGGUGAGUAACACGUGGGUGAUCUGCCCUGCACUUCGGGAUAAGCCUGGGAAACUGGGUCUAAUACCGGAUAGGACCACUGCCUGCAUGGGUGGUGGUGGAAAGCUUUUGCGGUGUGGGAUGGGCCCGCGGCCUAUCAGCUUGUUGGUGGGGUGAUGGCCUACCAAGGCGACGACGGGUAGCCGGCCUGAGAGGGUGACCGGCCACCCUGAGACUGAGAUACGGCCCAGACUCCUACGGGAGGCAGCAGUGGGGAAUAUUGCACAAUGGGCGCAAGCCUGAUGCAGCGACGCCGCGUGAGGGAUGACGGCCUUCGGGUUGUAAACCUCUUUCAGCACCGACGAAGCGCAAGUGACGGUAGGUGCAGAGGAAGGACCGGCCAACUACGUGCCAGCCGCCGCGGUAA